rnacentral:rRNA from 1 species
AGCAUGGUCUUAGCUUGCUAAGGCCGAUGGCGACCGGCGCACGGGUGAGUAACGCGUAUCCCCCCUGCCUUACACUCUUGGACAGCCUUCUGAAAGGGAGAUUACUACAAGAUGUUAUCAUGAGUAAGCAUUUUCGCAUGAUUAAAGGUUUACCGGUGUAAGAUGGGGAUGCGUUCCAUUAGAUAGUAGGCGGGGUAACGGCCCACCUAGUCUUCGAUGGAUAGGGGUUCUGAGAGGAAGGUCCCCCACAUUGGAACUGAGACACGGUCCAAACUCCUACGGGAGGCAGCAGUGAGGAAUAUUGGUCAAUGGACGAGAGUCUGAACCAGCCAAGUAGCGUGAAGGAUGAAGGUUCUAUGGAUUGUAAACUUCUUUUAUACGGGAAUAAACGGAUCCACGUGUGGAUUUUUGCAUGUACCGUAUGAAUAAGGAUCGGCUAACUCCGUGCCAGCAGCCGCGGUAAUACGGAGGAUCCGAGCGUUAUCCGGAUUUAUUGGGUUUAAAGGGAGCGUAGAUGGGUUGUUAAGUCAGUUGUGAAAGUUUGCGGCUCAACCGUAAAAUUGCAAUUGAUACUGGCAGUCUUGAGUACAGUUGAGGUAGGCGGAAUUCGUGGUGUAGCGGUGAAAUGCUUAGAUAUCACGAAGAACUCCGAUUG